rnacentral:rRNA from 1 species
CCUACGGGAGGCUGCAGUGAGGAAUAUUGGUCAAUGGACGAAAGUCUGAACCAGCCAUGCCGCGUGCAGGAAGACGGCUCUAUGAGUUGUAAACUGCUUUUGUACGGGGGUAAACGCAGAUACGCGUAUCUGUCUGAAAGUAUCGUACGAAUAAGGAUCGGCUAACUCCGUGCCAGCAGCCGCGGUAAUACGGAGGAUUCAAGCGUUAUCCGGAUUUAUUGGGUUUAAAGGGUGCGUAGGCGGUCGGAUAAGUUAGAUGUGAAAUCCCGAGGCUCAACUGCGGAAUUGCAUCUGAUACUGUUCGGCUAGAGAGUAGUAGCGGUAGGCGGAAUGUAUGGUGUAGCGGGGAAAUGCUUAGAGAUCAUACAGAACACCGAUUGCGAAGGCAGCUUACCAAGCUACUACUGACGUUGAGGCACGAAAGCGUGGGGAGCAAACAGGAUUAGAUACCCGAGUAGUC